rnacentral:rRNA from 1 species
AGUGAACGCUGGCGGCAGGCCUAACACAUGCAAGUCGAACGGCAGCACAAGAGAGCUUGCUCUCUGGGUGGCGAGUGGCGGACGGGUGAGGAAUGCAUCGGAAUCUGCCCAUUUGUGGGGGAUAACCUCGGGAAACCGGGACUAAUACCUCAUACGACCUACGGGUGAAAGCAGGGGAUCUUCGGACCUUGCGCAGAUGGAUGAGCCGAUGCUGGCUUAGCUAGUUGGAGGGGUAAAGGCCCACCAGGGCGACGAUCCGUAGCUGGUCUGAGAGGAUGAGAGGCCGCACUGGGACUGGGACACGGCCCAGGCUCCUGCGGGAGGCAGCAGUGGGGAAUAUUGGACAAUGGGCGCAAGCCUGAUCCAGCCAUGCCGCGUGUGUGAAGAAGGCCUUCGGGUUGUAAAGCACUUUUGUUGGGAAAGAAAAGCAGCCGGUUAAUACCCGAUUGUCAUGACGGUACCCAAAGAAUAAGCACCGGCUAACUUCGUG